GGCUCAGAACGAACGCUGGCGGCGUGCUUAACACAUGCAAGUCGAACGCGAAAGGGACUUCGGUCCUGAGUAAAGUGGCGGCACGGGUGAGUAACGCGUAGAUAACCUGUCUUCAUGUCUGGAAUAAUACGCCGAAAGGGGUACUAAUACCGGAUAUUCUUGCUUUUCAUAAGUUAUGCAAGCAAAGGUGGCCUCUGCAUAUGCUACUGCAUGAAGAGGGGUCUGCGUACCAUUAGCUAGUAGGUGGGGUAAUGGCCUACCUAGGCGACGAUGGUUAGCGGGUCUGAGAGGAUGAUCCGCCACACUGGCACUGGAACACGGGCCAGACUCCUACGGGAGGCAGCAGUGAGGAAUAUUGCGCAAUGGGGGAAACCCUGACGCAGCGACGCCGCGUGAGUGAGGAAGGCCUUCGGGUCGUAAAGCUCUGUCAAGAGGAAAGAAGUGUACAAUGGCUAAUACCUGUUGUAUUUGACGGUACCUCUAAAGGAAGCACCGGCUAACUCCGUGCCAGCAGCCGC
rnacentral:rRNA from 1 species